rnacentral:lncRNA from 1 species
GGCGCGCGGGAACCCGGCCCGGCCGUACCCCGCCGGCCUGCCGACCCGGGUCCGGGGGCCCAGUUGGCGCCCGGACCAGCUCUCCGGUCUGCGUCCUGUAGAUGGGAAAACUGAGGCCUGAGAGGGCGCGAGGGCGGGGACGAGGCCGAGGACUCGGGUUCGAAUCUCGAGGACGCCAGUAGCCCGCUCUGAGGCCGCGUGGGGCUGGUGGAGGAGCCACCGGUCGGGCCCCCAAGACCGGCUGACGUGGGCCUCGCCUCGGGCGACUCCCGCCGGGCUAGUGGCUGGCCGUGUGGUGACCUUGGGCGAGUUACUUCGCACAGCCACCCAGGGGCCUCUUCUCCAACACGAUAGCACUGCACCCGGAGGGCCUUCAGACCUGAGCUGAAAUCUACACCACCGGCUCUCUGACUAUCAGGCUUUGGACUAUACUUUGGGCUUUCCUGGGUCUCUUACCUGGCAGACAGCAGAUUUUGGAACUUUUCAGCCUCCAUAAUCAUGGUCAGGAAUUUGGACAGACCACAGUGGAGAUGGCUAAUCUAUGCCCCACGGUGUCUGGGGCCUCAGCCGGGGUGACUCAAAGGUGUCUGUGAUAUGUAACAAUUGGAGGCUGAGUAGGCAUCUUUCUCUCCUCUCCAGGUGGCCUCUCGCUGCAUAAUAUUUCAUUGUAUGGAUAAACUACACAGUUCCCAGUGAUGAAGACCAAGAUUGUUCCCAAUCUGUUUGCUAUUAUAAACAGUGUUGCAACAAACAGGCUUUGUGUGUAUCAUUUCAUAUGAGUACAAGAGUUUCUGUA